rnacentral:rRNA from 1 species
AUUGAACGCUGGCGGCAGGCUUAACACAUGCAAGUCGAGCGGAGAUGAGGUGCUUGCACCUUAUCUUAGCGGCGGACGGGUGAGUAAUGCUUAGGAAUCUGCCUAUUAGUGGGGGACAACAUUCCGAAAGGAAUGCUAAUACCGCAUACGUCCUACGGGAGAAAGCAGGGGAUCUUCGGACCUUGCGCUAAUAGAUGAGCCUAAGUCGGAUUUGCUAGUUGGUGGGGUAAAGGCCUACCAAGGCGACGAUCUGUAGCGGGUCUGAGAGGAUGAUCCGCCACAGUGGGACUGAGACACGGCCCAGACUCCUACGGGAUGAAGCAGUGGGGAAUAUUGGACAAUGGGGGGAACCCUGAUCCAGUCAUGCCGCGUGUGUGAAGAAGGCCUUAUGGUUGUAAAGCACUUUAAGCGAGGAGGAGGCUACUGAGACUAAUACUCUUGGAUAGUGGACGUUACUCGCAGAAUAAGCACCGGCUAACUCUGUGCCAGCAGCCGCGGUAA